rnacentral:misc_RNA from 1 species
GAUGAAGAACGUAGUGAAAUGCGAUAAGUAAUGUGAAUUGCAGAAUCCAGUGAAUCAUCGAAUCUUUGAACGCACAUUGCGCCCGCCAGCAUUCUGGCGGGCAUGCCUGUUCGAGCGUCAUUUCAACCCUCGACCUCCCUUUGGGGAAGUCGGCGUUGGGGACCGGCAGCACACCGCCGGCCCUGAAAUGGAGUGGCGGCCCGUCCGCGGCGACCUCUGCGUAGUAAACCAACUCGCACCGGAACCCCGACGUGGCCACGCCGUAAAACACCCAACUUCUGAACGUUGACCUCGUAUCAGGUAGGACUACCCGCUGAACUUAAGCAUAUCAAUAAGCGGAGGA